rnacentral:rRNA from 1 species
UACGGAGGAUCCAAGCGUUAUCCGGAAUCAUUGGGUUUAAAGGGUCCGUAGGCGGUUUGGUAAGUCAGUGGUGAAAGCCCAUCGCUCAACGGUGGAACGGCCAUUGAUACUGCCAGACUUGAAUUAUUAGGAAGUAACUAGAAUAUGUAGUGUAGCGGUGAAAUGCUUAGAGAUUACAUGGAAUACCAAUUGCGAAGGCAGGUUACUACCUAAUGGAUUGGACGCUGAUGGACGAAAGCGUGGGUAGCGAACAGG